AGGGAGCGCUGCCCAUGGGGGUGGGGAAAGGCACGGCUCAUGCGUGGAUGGAAGGAGGCAGGGAGCGCCCGGCCACCAUUGCCGGUGAGCCAUCGUAUGGCUACUUUCGUGCCGUGCCGACCCCUUCGAGAAGAUCGACAAGGAUGUUGCCAACUGCAUCCGCCCUCUCCGGUUCCACCACAAGAUCUCUACCUGAAUUCUGGGGCAUGAGAUGCGGAACACAGGCAGAUCGAGGAAGCUUUUGAAUUGCAUGCUCAUGAAUAGGCCAAUAAUUAUUUGGCUUUGUUGUAGGACAAGUGCCUGAUUGUCCUGCUGUACAGGCAUACAACUUGAUGGUCUGGUCUUUGAAAGCCCUAGAUCAGAAAUGGGGGAUGCAUGUUUCUCUACACAGCUCAUUGACGGUGAUGGGGUUUUCAAUGUCUCCGAAUUGGAGAACUUCAUGAAGGAAGCUAGAUUGGGUGAAUGCAGGCUCUCGUAUGCUGUUGUAUCAAUAAUGGGCCCGCAAAGUAGUGGGAAAAGUACACUUCUGAAUCAUCUUUUUGGCACCAAUUUUAGAAAGAUGGAUGCUUUCAAAGGAAGGUGUGCUACUAUUUCUUUAUAUUUGUCACUAAACUUACGCGGGGCACGAUAUGGGGGCUGAUGGCCGGCCUCGCCACCGUCGAUGCG